UUUUGACAAUUUGUAAAUAAAUGUAAAAAAACAGAAAAGGAAAACAAAAAAAUAAAAUAAAAGAAGAAACAGAAAAAAGAAAAAGGAAACAAAAAGAAAAAGAAAACAGGAAACAGAAAAAAGGAAAAAAGAAAAAUAAAAGAAGAAACAGGAAAAAGAAAAAGGAAACAAAAAUAAAAAGAAAACAAGAAACAGAAAAAAGGAAAAAAUAAAAAUAAAAGAAGAAACAGGAAAAAGAAAAAGGAAACAAAAAGAAAAAGAAAACAGGAAACAGAAAAAAGGAAAAAAAAAA
rnacentral:lncRNA from 1 species